GAAUGUGAGGGCGAUCUGGCUGCGACAUCUAUCACCCCAUUAAUUGCUAGGGUUGAUUUCACUGAUCUGGCUGACUAAGUGGCUGUCCUCUUCCUCCCUCACCACUCCCUGUUCGUGUCUCUCAAAGCUGUGUUCUCAAAGAGGACAACCAUCCCUGCUAGAAGAGGACCAGUCUUUGGUCAAGGUAUACAAGUAGCUGCGCUUCCCUGCUGGAACCUCCACACAAACUCUCAAGUCCAUUUGUAGGAGAACAUAGGGUAGUCAAGCUUCCAAGAUUCCAGACACAUCCAAAUGAGGUGCUGCAUGUGGCAGUCUGCCUUUCUUA
ensembl:misc_RNA 7SK 7SK RNA